GGGCCUGUAGCUCAGUUGGUUAGAGCAGAAGACUCAUAAUCUUUUGGUCGUAGGUUCGAGUCCUACCGGGCCCACCA
rnacentral:tRNA from 3 species